UACGUAGGGGGCAAGCGUUGUCCGGAAUCAUUGGGCGUAAAGCGCGUGUAGGCGGUUCGGUAAGUCGGCUGUGAAAGUCCAGGGCUCAACCCUGGGAUGCCGGUCGAUACUGCCGGACUAGAGUUCGGAAGAGGCGAGUGGAAUUCCCGGUGUAGCGGUGAAAUGCGUAGAUAUCAAGUGGAACACCAGUGGCGAAGGCGAAUCCCUGGAAAAUACCUGACACUGAGGCACGAAAGCUAGGGGAGCAAACAGG
rnacentral:rRNA from 1 species